rnacentral:rRNA from 1 species
UAACGUGAGCGUCCUAAGGUAGCGCGAUAAUUUGCUUUUCAAUUGAAGGAUGGUAUGAAAGGGUUAACGAAGAAGGUGCUGUGUCUAAAAAUUCAAUUUAAACUAACUUUAAGGUGAAGAGGCCUUUAUGUAAAAGAAGGACGACAAGACCCUAUGAAGCUUUAUCUUAAUUGGAGCUCUCAGGCUCUUAUACGAUUUUGAUGGGAGAUCAGUAGAAAUAAGUCUUCUACUAUCAUAUUAAUCUUACUAGUACUUCCUAACUUUAUAUGUGUGGCUAGCUACUCUAGGGAUAACAGCGCAAUUUCUCCCGAAAGAUGGUAUUGGAGGGGAAGAUUGCGACCUCGAUGUUGGCUUUAGAUAUCCUAGAGGCGUAGAAGCUUCU